rnacentral:lncRNA from 1 species
CAUUUUAUUGUUCUUUGCUCUAAUAUCAUUUUAUAAAAAUUAAUAAGAAAUAAAACAACUGCUGAAACUAAAAUGAUAGGAAGCAUAUGUCUCAAACUUAAUACUAUAAAGACCAUAUUAGAAAUCUGAAGCAUGACAAAAAUGUAACUCUCUGGCCUCAACUGACUAGAAAUUUAUUGCUGAUUGUGUUUUCUGUCCCUUCUGGAUUUUUACAAGUCAUGGAUCCUACUACAUUCUUUCUGCAUAUUGAACCAACCUUCUGGGGAGACAGUGGACCUACCAGACACCUACCGGACUGCAACAAUUGUUUCACGUGAUCUUUCAGACGAGAGCAAAUGUCUUCCUAAAUAGAAAAAAAGUUCAGGAAGUCAUUUUCAUAAAGAGUUUUAAUAAAGAGUAAACUAAAAAUUAUGAUACAUAAUUAGAUUUGAUGUCAAACACAAGAUCAUCACAUGGGAGCAUCACCUCUUUUACAAGUCAACAGAGAAUGGAGACCCCCAACCCAAUAAGGAAAAGCCACCAGGAUCCACUCUUCUCCAGUCAUCCAAGAAGGGCUACUGUCCAAGUCCAACUAACUUCAAUGUUACCCUAUGUUUGGC